UUUCGUCCUGGUAAUUAUUAAAAGACAGAGUCAGUCUAUUACGGCCAAUUCGUUUUAAGCUUCCGUUAACAGGUGAAUGAAGUUAGCCCCUCAAAAAAAUUUUUUUUUCCUGUUUUCUACUUAUUUUCUAUUAAUUCGUUUGUUCAUCAUUUGUUCUUGAUUGUUCAUUGUUAAUAAUUGUUUGUUCCCCAUUUAUUUAUUUUAAAAAAAAUAUUAAAAAUAUAUCUAAAAGUUAGCCCCUCGAUUGCAAUUUUUAAUAUUUUUUCGUCCUUAAUUACUCGUAAAUAUUCAUUUUCGAUUGUUCUUAUAUAAAAUACGUUUGUUCUCUUUCGAAAUUACUCAUUUUUUGUUUAAUUAAUUGUAUUAGUUGAAUAAAUGUAUACAAAAUAUGUGUACUGCGCAUGCCAUAAGUGUAUAAUCUAUGGCGCAUGCGUCAACUAUAAUGCCUAAACUUUCUACACGGUUUUAAUCGUGAAAAAAAAACAAUUAUAAAUCCUGAAGGAUCAAUUAAUUGGUAUACAGUUUAAUUAAAAAAAUUAAAAACAAAAUAAAUAAAAUAAUGUGCAUUCGCGUAAAGUUAGACCAAAUACAUUUUUUCCAUCCUCCUAUAUACCUAUCGCUAUGAAGGUAUAAAAAAGAUAGGUUAAGAGUAGACAUGCGCAAAACAUCACUUCCCAAUGUAAUGUGAUAUGACAUCACUUUUACAGACAGGUGAUAUUACUCGAAAACAUUACACAUCACUCAUAACAUUACUCGGUGCGUUCAAUAGAUACUGUGACGACGAAUACAUUGUAUCUAUACACCCGAAUCAUUACUUAAGUGAUGUGUUGAUACACAUCACUUAGGUAAUGAUUCGGGUAUGUCAUUACAGUAGUGUAUUACAAUACAAAGUAUGAACUUUGUAUUGUAAUACACUGUUAUAUUACUUGACAGAGAUUGACUUACUUAAUAAUAUAAUAAUUUUAUUUUUUACUUAAUAUAAUUUAUUGUGGGAUGAACGGAUUUCAUAUGGCGACUUAGACUGCAAAUUGAGCUCGACAAUAAUGUUAAUUAAUAUAUUAUACGAGAGCAGUAGAUGCAUUGUUUCGGCGCGAUAUCUUCAAAGUGCAUCCAAGGAGGACUGUACUUUCAUUUAGACGCCGUUAUUUCUUUCACUUAUUAAACACGCAUUAAAACAAAUAAUAAAACUAUCUUCAAACAAGUGCUUAAGUAAUUCAAAUCAAACACAAAAAUUAAUAUGAAAUAUUACUAAACAAUUACGAGCGACUAGCGAUUUUACAAAAGUUGCGAAUAAAAAAUUAAGUAACUACUUGCGGGGAACUACCGGCUGGCCGCAUGAAAAAUAUAAACACAAAUACCUAUAUUAAAAUUCAGACUUACCAUAGGUAUAAAAAUGUACCUAGCGGCCAGGGCAUACGGUUCAAAAUCACUAGGAAUAAUUCCGUGUCUCUUGCUCAUUUAUUUUGCGUCGAUCGGUCUGUCUCGCUCGCUCGGUUCCGUUCGUGUAUUAAGGAACAUUACACGACAAAGAAAGAAACAUGUUGGGUGAUAGUGUGAUGUUUGUUGCCUUCGCGUAAUGUGUGAUGUUGCAUUACAUCGUAGGGUAAUAUUACCCGAGUAAUAUCACUCGCAUUACUUACACAUGUCUAGUUAAGAGUUCACAUAGGUAAUAUAAACAAAUAAGUAAAUAUGUUCAUUAUUUAUCUUUCAAGAGAUAAUGUAGGUAUACAUUAUAAUAACAUUUUGACACAGUCGAAAUUAUAUUCCUAACAUUAGUAAAAUAACAUUUUAAUAUUUUUUUUAUAGGUUAUGUAUUGAAAUUGUUGGAAAAUUAUUUCAUGUUUUAGCUGGAAAACUACAUGGAGAAUUAUAUGCAAUACAAGAUAAUGAGCUCCAUUAAAUGAAUUCGAAUGAAACCAAACUGUUUACCAUCCAAAUUCGAUUGUCGGGCAGAUAGAAAACGAAAAUUCACUCAUAGUGAACCUCGGCCUGCAUUUGUGAAACGGCAAAGACUCACUAUUAUCAAGGAAAUUGAAGAGACAACUAAAAAUGAGAUGUGUCGUAUUAUUAUACCUUUUCCAUCUUGUAGUCAAGAUGUCCAGCCACUUGAAAAUAGGUGUAGUAAUGACAAAGCUAUCCAAGUAGCUCCAGCACAGGAACACAAAGGCAAGGCAAGUGUGUAUUGCCACAUCACCCCUUAAUAUAUCUGAAGCAAAUAUAAGUAAACAAUCAGAACCAGCAAAAAAAAAACUGUUGUUCCUGAGGACAAAUUUGACAGUGAUGAGUCAAAUGCACCAGCAACAGAAGGAUCAACUGUUGACUAUGAGUUAUCUCUCUAUAUCUCCACUCCAUCAAAGACUUGUGCACUUCAGACUAUAGUUCUCAAGAAGACUAAAAAGUUGAAAAAAUGAAUGUGUUAACAACUUUAUCUAAAGUGAAAAAUAAACAACGUUUAUAUAUUGGUCUUCCACAAGAAUUAUGUUUCAUAAUAGGCUUGAUUGAGAAACAUACAAAUGUUUCUGAACAAAAUAUUAUAUUAUGUCUGAUGAGAAUAACAUUAAAUAGAACAUUCUCUCAAUUGGCUGAUGAUUUCGAUUUAUCUGUAAGUCAAGCAAGCAAUAUAUUUUUCAACAAACUCCCAGAAAUUGCAAAUGUAAUAUCACCCCUUGUUAGACUAUAAAAAAAACAAUACAAUAAAUAUAUAUGCAGGAAGGAUAAUUGAUGUCAACUUGGUGGAAAAUAGAAAGUUUUUAGAUAGUUUGCCACCUACAAAACUCUUUAAUUAAAUAAGUAAUCCUUACUUAUAAAUAGGAAGUUUUGUAAGUAUUUUCACUCUUCAUUCAAAAACUACUGAACAGAUUUUAAUAAGACUUUUAUGCUGGUCUUCUAUGGCUAGCAACUCAUUAUUAUUUUGAUUCUGUUUUCCACAAAUGUGCUAAAUAUGGGCUUAUAUAUAUGAAAAGGAAUAAAUAUUAAUGUUAUGUAACCUUUGUACCUGUAUGUUAAGAAUAAUUUUUAAUAAAACAUAAUUUAAAUUGAAA